rnacentral:rRNA from 1 species
GCCUUUUGCAACUUAUAAAAGGUCCAGCCUGCCCAGUGACUUGUUCAACGGCCGCGGUAUCCUAACCGCGCGAAGGUAGCGUAAUCACUUGUUUUCUAAAUCAAGACUAGUAUGAACGGCUACACGAGGAUCCAACUGUCUCCUUUUUUCCCUCAGUGAAACUAAUCUCCCCGUGAAGAAGCGGGGAUUUUUAUAUAAGACGAGAAGACCCUAUGGAGCUUUAAACUACAGGCCAUCUGCUAACAAAUAUUUUAACAUACUGGUUCUCACGUUUUAGGUUGGGGUGACCCAGGAGAAAAACUCAUCCUCCUGACUGACAUGGACUUUUUCCCUUAGCAAAAAAUUACACUUUUAAGCACCAAUAAAAUUGACACUCAUUGACCCAGUUUUCUGAUCAACGAACCAAGUUACCCUAGGGAUAACAGCGCAAUCUACUUCAAGAGUCCCUAUCGACAAGUGGGUUUACGACCUCGAUGUUGGAUCAAGAUAUCCCAGUGGUGCAGCCUCUACUAACGGUUCGUUUGUUCAACGAUUAAAAUCUUAC